GCAAGCAUAGCUCAGUUGGUAGAGCAGUCGUCUUAUACACGACCGGUCCUAGGUUCAAAUCCUAGUGCUUGCA
rnacentral:tRNA from 1 species